rnacentral:rRNA from 1 species
AGAAUCAACGCUGGCGGCGUGCCUAACACAUGCAAGUCGCACGAGAAAGGGACUUCGGUCCUGAGUACAGUGGCGCACGGGUGAGUAACACGUGAAUUAUCUACCUCCGAGUGGGGAAUAACUGAGAGAAAUCUUAGCUAAUACCGCAUAACACUUACGAGUCAAAGCAGCAAUGCGCUUGGAGAGAAGUUCGCGGCAGAUUAGUUAGUUGGCGGGGUAAUGGCCCACCAAGACGAUGAUCUGUAUCCGGCCUGAGAGGGCGCACGGACACACUGGAACUGAAACACGGUCCAGACUCCUACGGGAGGCAGCAGUGGGGAAUUUUGCGCAAUGGGGGAAACCCUGACGCAGCAACGCCGCGUGGAGGAUGAAAUAUCUUGGUAUGUAAACUCCUUUCGAUGGGGAAGAUAAUGACGGUACCCAUAGAAGAAGCCCGGCUAACUUCGUGCCAGCAGCCGC